CUCCUUCAACCACCUCUCCUCCUCUCCCCUUGUUGUGGUCUACUGUUCUGUGUUCUGGUUUUACUGGUUUUACUGGUUUUACUGGCGAGACGAUGCCUCCACAGGAAACCUAAAGCUGCUGAAGUAGAAGCUGGGGAUGAUGACAUCACAGAUGACAUCACAUACAGUGAUGUCAAAAUAUCACGUCACCUACAGCAGCCAAUCAGAUGCAGCAAAGAGAGUGAUCCAGCUGCAGUCUACUCAACAGUGAGAGGAACAGGAGACGUCAGUUAUGGACAAAUAGUCAUCAAAGACAUCAAAUCAAACAGGACGAGAGAGAGUGAUCCAGCUGCAGUCUACUCAGCAGUAAGAACAGGAGACGUCA